rnacentral:rRNA from 1 species
CUAGCGACUUCAGAGUUUGAUCCUGGCUCAGGAUGAACGCUGGCGGCGUGCAUAACACAUUCAAGUCGAACGGAGUUAUGAGGUGCUUGCACCGAGUAACUUAGUGGCGGACGGGUGAGUAAUGCAUGAGCAACCUGCCUCGAAGAGUGGAAUAACACAUGGAAACGUGUGCUAAUACCGCAUAAUGUGUACGGGAGGCAUCUCCUGUACAAGAAAGGGGAAACCCGCUUUGAGAUGGGCUCAUGUCUGAUUAGGUAGUUGGUGAGGUAACGGCCCACCAAGCCUGCGAUCAGUAGCCGGACUGAGAGGUUGAACGGCCACAUUGGGACUGAGAUACGGCCCAG